UCCCUGUGGCUCAGAUGGUACAGCAUCUACCUGCAAUGCAGGAGACCCAGGUUCGAUUCCUGGGUUGGGAA
rnacentral:tRNA from 1 species